UGAUCAGAGUUAAUGAGAUUCAGAAGUUUUUGGACAUCUCUUCGGUUCAGACCUACAUUAUCAACAGCACUAAAGUUGUGUUCUUGAAUGAACGGCCGCAGCCCAGGUCGGGAAAGGGCGUCACCAAUACCUGUGAGGUCUGUGAGCGCAGCCUCCUUGAUUCCUUUCGCUUCUGCUCUCUCGGCUGCAAGAUUGUUGGGACAUCCAAGAACUUCGUGAAGAAGCCGAAGCACUUCUCGGAGAAGAAGAGGGCGGCGGC